rnacentral:rRNA from 1 species
UGAACGCUAGCGGCAGGCUUAACACAUGCAAGUCGAACGGUAACAGGAUUGAUUUAUCAAUUGCUGACGAGUGGCGCACGGGUGCGUAACACGUAUGCAACCUACCCUUUACAGGAGAAUAGCCCCGAGAAAUCGGGAUUAAUACUCCAUGGUAUCAUAAGAUCGCAUGGUCUAAUGAUUAAAGUUUCGGCGGUAAAGGAUGGGCAUGCGGUCUAUUAGUUUGUUGGUGAGGUAACGGCUCACCAAGACUUCGAUAGAUAGGGGGUCUGAGAGGAUGAUCCCCCACACUGGUACUGAGACACGGACCAGACUCCUACGGGAGGCAGCAGUGAGGAAUAUUGGACAAUGGGCGCAAGCCUGAUCCAGCCAUGCCGCGUGCAGGAAGACGGCCCUAUGGGUUGUAAACUGCUUUUAUUUGGGAAGAAACCCCGGGACGUGUCCCGGGCUGACGGUACCAAACGAAUAAGCACCGGCUAACUCC